CAGCCGCCGCGGGAAUACGUAGGUGGCGAGCGUUGUCCGGAAUUAUUGGGCGUAAAGGGCUCGCAGGCGGUUUCUUAAGUCUGAUGUGAAAGCCCCCGGCUCAACCGGGGAGGGUCAUUGGAAACUGGGAAACUUGAGUGCAGAAGAGGAGAGUGGAAUUCCACGUGUAGCGGUGAAAUGCGUAGAGAUGUGGAGGAACACCAGUGGCGAAGGCGACUCUCUGGUCUGUAACUGACGCUGAGGAGCGAAAGCGUGGGGAGCGAACAGGAUUAGAUACCCCGGUAGUCCCUGUCUCUUAUAC
rnacentral:rRNA from 1 species